CACCUCUCAGGAUGGCAACCGGAGAGUUUCCAGUACUCUACCUGUCUAGGCUAUGAGAGGGAGAGUUAAGCAGAGGCCUACCCAUUCCUUUCCUAGUUUGGGCAGUGGCUAGCUAGUGGAAGGCAAUCUGCCACAAGU